rnacentral:rRNA from 1 species
CAUUAAUAAUUGUGAAUCGUUGCCUUUGGUGCUGGCCCCGGCAUGUGCACACUGGUGACUUUCAUCCAAUACCCUUGUGAACCCUUUGCCUCUUGCUGGCUUUGGCUGGCAGAGGAUUUUAUACACAACUCGAAUGUAAUGAAACCUAUUAUUGUGCGCAAGCACUAAUGUACAACUUUCAACAACGGAUCUCUUGGCUCUCGCAUCGAUGAAGAACGCAGCGAAAUGCGAUAAGUAAUGUGAAUUGCAGAAUUCAGUGAAUCAUCGAAUCUUUGAACGCACCUUGCACCUUUUGGUAUUCCGAAGGGUAUGCUCGUUUGAGUGUCAUUGUACUCUCACACUCUUCGAUCCUUUGGAUUUGGGGAGUGGUGGACUUGGGUGUUGCCGCUUUACUGUGGCUCAUCUCAAAUGCAGUAGUGCAACUCUUAGUUGGACAUAGUACGGCGUGAUAAGUAUCUUCGCCGGCACCUCGCAUUGAGGGUGGCUAAUUGAGAGCUCUGUGCUUCAAACCGUCUUCAGACAAUCACUGACAACUUGGCCUCAAAUCGAGUAGGACUACCCGCUGAACUUAAGCAUAUCAAUAAGCGGAGGAAAAGAAACUAACAAGGAUUCCCCUAGUAACGGCGAGUGAAGAGGGAAGAGCUCAAAUUUUGAAUCUGGCGUCUUUGGCGUCCGAAUUGUAAUCUAGAGAAGUGUUUUCCGUGGCGGACCGUGCACAAGUCUCCUGGAAUGGAGCGUCAUAGAGGGUGAGAAUCCCGUAUAUGGCACGGACUCCCGUUGCUCUGUGAUACACUCUCGACGAGUCGAGUUGUUUGGGAAUGCAGCUCCAAAUGGGUGGUAAAUGCCAUCUAAAGCU